UUUGCUGAUGUUUAUGAACCGUAAUUGUUUCUAAUGCUUUAACUUCCGAUGAGAUUAUUUUAAUUCACAACUACAAUAAGUGUUUAGUUUCAAAUUCAAGUUGCCUAAUGAUAAAUUGGUUAUUAGUAGAGAUUAAUUUUAUAUCCAAAAUUUACACGCAUAAAUAAAAAAAAACAAAAAUCAGAAUUUAAUACAUCAUGGCUAACACAAAAAUUAAAAUUAAAUAAUUUAUUAUUUUCAUUUAAAAUUUAUAUCAAAUUUAAUAAUAUAUAUUUUAAGAAAAUAACAUUAAAAUUGAAAUAUAUUGAUAUAUAUACAUUAAUCCGCACGAGGUGCAGACAAUCAUCUUGUCUGAUAGAAACACAGUCUGUUCCCAAAAAUUAAUGUUCUCCUUCAAUAUUAAUUAUGUUUUCCUAGUUUUGAUAAUGUCUCGUGAAAUCUUUAAAUUCACUGUUUAAGUGCUUUAAAUAUUUAAAUACGUUAAAAAAAAUUGUAAUUUCUUUGGCUCAUCUUAAACUUUUCUAUUUUUUCCAUUUAAUGGUGGGUUGGUACUCAUAAGCGUUAAUUCAUUUGUUUUAGUUUUUAUCGGUUGCUCCUUUUUUGCCAAACAAAUUAUUUGACUUGCGCUGAAAAUAGUUCUUGUCUAAUUUUAAAUUUAGCUAGCAUCAUAAAUAGAUUAUUAAUACAUUAUAUAAAUGUUGCAAAAACAAAUUAUACAUAUUGAACAUUGAUACCCUGAUCAGACUGUCUUUGAUCUAACAUAUGAAUCUUUGUAUAUAUUUUGUGCUCGUUUUGGCUGUUUUCGCUGGUACAGCUUACACAUGGAAUGAUGUAGAAAUUCGUAAUCAAAUCGGUCCUAAUAUUGUUCUCCAUAUGAAGUGUCAUAUGACGAACCCAACAAAUGAUCUAGGAAGCAAGGAUUUACAAUUUAAUACGUCUCAUACCUUUGAGUUUAGGGAUGUAGAUACAAUAAAUUGGAAAAAAGAAGAAACACAGUGUCUUUUAAGAUAUGGUAGAUAUUACCAUGAUGUUCAAGUAUAUCGAGAAUCAUUUUUGACGAGAAGUGGCAUACUACGUUCAUGGGAGGCCAGAAGAGAUGGAAUUUACUUUAAAACGCGUCACGAUAGACCAUGGGAAUUUAAAUUUCAUUGGAUUGUUGGUAAGUAAUUUUUACUAGGUGGGUUUACGUGCCAUCACAAGAUUAUAAUAAUAUCAUUAUGUAUUUUAUGUAAGCUAUGUGCAGAUCUAUAUCAAAAUUUGUUUUAUUUUUUAUGUAAUUUCAAACUUACCAAAAUUUAACUGAUAUCUUUAUAUAAUUGUAUAUUUUAAUUAACUACCAUUAUAUAUCUUAUGUAUUUACAUUGUCUUUAAACGGUUAUAAGAAUAUAAUACUUUUAAAUAUUUAGUCGCUUGUUCAACACAUGAAUUUCUUGUACUUUUAAAUGUGUACAUAAUAUACAAUAUUCAGAUUUCAAAUAACACAAUAAAUAUGUGUUAAAUUUAAUUAUAUAUUAAUCGAAUUUAUUAGAUAAUCGAUACAAUGGAAUAAUUAUUAUUUGUUACAAAUGUUGGUUAGUAUUUAAUUAUUGAGAUAUGAGUACCGAGAAUUUCGAACACAAUAUCUAGUUUAACAAUGAUAUAAUAAUUAUUAGGGAAAUUUUGAAAAUACAUUCAAAUGAGAUUAUAUUUUGAUAAAUACACCAUUUAUUAUUAUUCAUGAAAACUACACUUAUUUAUAACUGAACUAAAAUAACCUAAUUAGAAAUUUAUAAUAAUUUUAGUCUCAAAUCGAAAUUUAUUUUAAAAAUCAACUAUUUCCACGUUUUAAAUUUAGUACAAAACUCUGUCUCAUCCCAAUCAAGAGAAACCUAGAGUUUUCUUUUUCCUUUGCAUCUAUCUACUCCGAUUGAUUCACAAUGGUCCUAUUUAUCCAUCUUAUUACCACAUCAAAUUUCCAUGGUCGCAAUGUUUAGUAUUAUCAAGGUCCGAUGGUUUGAUUUGGUGUAGCUUUUUUUCUUUUUUUUUCUUUUUAGCAUCCGUGUAGCUUUUUUCUUAGGUGGAAGCCAUAUAAACUUAAGUUUUUUGUUCUAUUUAAAAAAAAUUAAGAAUCUAUAUUUUUACUGAUUUUUUCCACGCAGCUGGUAAAGUGAAUUAAUAAUGUGGAACCAGAGCAUAUCCUUAACCAUACGUAGGAGAUUCUAAAAGUGUAUCCAUAUAAUUUGGAGAGUCAAAAUACUCAAAACUAAUAGAGCUAUGAUUAAACAAUAUUCCUAUUCCGGACAUGAAAAAAAAAAAAAAGAUGAGUUAAUUCUACAUGUGGCAGCCUGGACUUAACCAUCUGUCUCUCCUGCUAUGUCAUUAACAUUUGAGUUAGAAGGCCUCUUUUUCAACCCUCUGUUUUGCAUGAUUCUUAGUCUUUGACGACUCAAUCGUAACCUUCUGUUCCACAUGAAUAUUAUGUAGCGAGAUUAUAAGUUGUGUGUCAUAGUCCGAGGUCAUUUUAGCUGACAUGGAAGCGGAUAUCACAGGUAUAUCUACUUUUUGUGCAUCUGAUAAAUUAGAAGCUCCAAACAAACGAACAGAAUAAGUAUCAAUGAAACUAAUCCCCCACUACCUUUUGCAGUUCCUUGAUGACAGAGAUACAAUCCCCCACUGACCAUGCAACUUUCAUAAUAGUCUGAUAUUCAGAGAAGUCUGAUAAUCUUUUUAUCAAAAAGAUCAGUGUGAUGUCAUUUUAUUUGAUAUGUAAAUGCAGAACCAUUUGUAAAUAAUAACUGAUGUCUUUUGGAUGAAUACAAGAAUAGAAGUAUAUUAUUAUCAA